rnacentral:lncRNA from 1 species
CUGGGCAAGAGUAUAUUAGAAUUUCUCAUGUUCCCAUUCUUGUACCAAAGUUACCAUACAUAUACUCUUGUUGUUCUUAUAUAAUGGCAUUAGAGAAGAGGAAGAGAUUUAUCUUCUUCCCUUCAAAGUUUAUACCAAACUUAUUUCUCAACAGCAAUAAUUCUAGGGUUUGUUAUAUUCUUUCACUUUUCCUUCAUCCAUCUGAAAACUGUUCGUUCCUAUUCCUCUUUCCCUCUUUUCAUUUUCUUUUCUUGAUAUUGGAAGUAUGUGUUUGAUUUCAUUGACUCCAUUUGUAUCGCGUGUGGCGGUGAUACAGAUUGAUGCCAGUUGCAUCGUAAUUAUUCAGAAUUUGAUUGCAUUGUGUGUCUUCAUCUGAUUUUGAGUUCGUCGGUGGUUGAGUGAUAGCGUUGAUUACUGUUCAGUGGUGUUUAGGUGCUGCCGGCUGAUUCCAUAACUCUAUGGUCCUGUGAUUUCAUGGUUCGACUGCUGUAGAGAGUGGUGAUUGUAACAAUUGAGUGGGUUUAUGGUGUCGGCUGAGAACUUUUGUGGUGAUUUUUUGAUCGACCUGAGGAACAAAUCCGAAUCAUCCGAUCGAAUUCUGCAAUAGUGUCCGGCAACGUUGCUAGCAGAGAGGCGACGUUGGGUUGAUUACUUGUGGGCUCAAGUUUGGUUUGUUGGGUCUCAUCUUUUUCCUUUUUAUUUUCUUUCAGCCACUAUUGGCCCUGAGUUGAUUAUUUGUUGGGCUUGUUUUAUUUUUGAAGCCCAUUGAGGGUUUAGUUAUUGUUGGGAUGUUGAUGCUGGUUUGUGAGCUCCUUUAGACCCAUGAAUGUGCAUCUACGUUUCUUUCUUGAUUUGCAGGUUAUAAAAAAUAGGUGGAAGAUAUCGAUAUUGUUAAUUUUUCUGUUAGUCUUCCACCAGAGCUUGAAGCUGUCCAUGUGCAAAUAUUAGGUGAAAAAGAGAUUCCCAAUCUUGGAGGACGUUCUCUCGUAUUUAGCACUCUACUCUCUCAUGUAGCAAACCUAGUGAGGUUCGUUCUAUCUUUAUUACUCAGGGUGGACGUAUCGAACUGAGUGAAUUGGUGUUAACUCUCGAGGUGGACGACUAACUGAGGCGGUGGUCAUUCAGGAAAUCAUGAGCGUUGAAAGUGUACUCACUAUGGUCGUAUAGGUCAUUUCGUUGACUAUUGUUGAGACUUACAUGGCAAACUAUCUGGUUCUAUCAAUCUGGUCUCGUCUAAUGAAGACGAUCACCCAUUAUUUGGAACAAUGACUAACUCUAGUUCAACACAAAAUUAUAAUUUUUUGGGGUCCUUUGAGAUGAGCAUUCUAUGUUCUUAGCAUCACACAACCAGAUAUUUCUUAUACAGUUAACAUCAUUAGUCAGUUCUUGAAUACUCCUCGUGUUUUUCAUUCAGAAUUUGUGAUACGUAUUAUUCGAUAUUUGAAAAAAGUUUCAGGUCUUGGAUUAUUAUACAAAACCAAAUGGACAUAUUGGGCAGAUGUCAAGUGUAGAAGAAAUUAUAGAUGCAUAUUGG